rnacentral:lncRNA from 1 species
CUUUUCUGGGAAGCUCCCACCCUACCUGAGUAGAAUGCUCUCCUCGGCUGUUCCCACCUCCUAUAGCCUCCGAUCCAGUAUCAGCACUUUAUUUAGUCUACCUCAAUACAAAAAGAAAGCAGCCCGAUCCUCCUUCUCCUACAGAGCACCGCAAUUAUGGAAAGACCUCCCGCACACUUUAAAAUCUUCCCCAGGCCUAAAGUCCUUUAAGAGAUCCCUC